AACGAACGCUGGCGGCAUGCCUAACACAUGCAAGUCGAACGAGACCUUCGGGUCUAGUGGCGCACGGGUGCGUGACGCGUGGGAACCUGCCCUUAGGUUCGGAAUAACUCCCCGAAAGGGGUGCUAAUACCGGAUAAUGUCUUCGGACCAAAGAUUUAUCGCCUUUGGAUGGGCCCGCGUUGGAUUAGCUAGUUGGUAGGGUAAAAGCCUACCAAGGCGACGAUCCAUAGCUGGUCUGAGAGGAUGAUCAGCCACACUGGGACUGAGACACGGCCCAGACUCCGAGGGAGGAGAGAGGUGGGGAAUAUUGGAGAAGGGGAGAGGGUGAAACCAAGCAGUGCCGGGGGAGAAGGAAGGCCCUUGGGAUUGAAAGGCUUUUUGCCCCGGAGGGAAAAUGACGGGCCGGGGAAAAAAAGCCCCGGCUAACUCCGUG
rnacentral:rRNA from 1 species